rnacentral:rRNA from 1 species
AACGAACGCUGGCGGCAGGCUUAACACAUGCAAGCCGAGCGCCCCGCAAGGGGAGCGGCAGACGGGUGAGUAACGCGUGGGGAUCUACCGUGCCCUACGGAAUAGCUCCGGGAAACUGGAAUUAAUACCGUAUACGCCCUACGGGGGAAAGAUUUAUCGGGGUAUGAUGAGCCCGCGUUGGAUUAGCUAGUUGGUGGGGUAAAGGCCUACCAAGGCGACGAUCCAUAGCUGGUCUGAGAGGAUGAUCAGCCACAUUGGGACUGAGACACGGCCCAAACUCCUACGGGAGGCAGCAGUGGGGAAUAUUGGACAAUGGGCGCAAGCCUGAUCCAGCCAUGCCGCGUGAGUGAUGAAGGUCUUAGGAUUGUAAAGCUCUUUCACCGGUGAAGAUAAUGACGGUAACCGGAGAAGAAGCCCCGGCUAACUUCGUGCCAGCAGCCGCGGUAA